ensembl:lncRNA
AUCUCUUUUUGGAGAUCCCUUACUUUGUGGAGUUCUCUCCCGUGAGCCUAGAUCUUCAGAGAUGGAAGUGGAUACUCCUCCGUAGGAGCUGCUAUUUGUUUUAUUGGGAUAAGCACCUGGCAAAGAAGGACCAUUCGAAAGGAACUUCUGAGGAAACAAAUCAGAACAGACAUCACUGAGUGAAUAUUUGCUGAAGGGAUGAGGCUCUGCUAGCCCCCAAUGGAACACACGAUGCUGUAUCUCGCUGGUCAGGGGGAGGCUGCUUAGCUCCUCCACAUCCCAUCUCAAAUGCCUAGAGGAAGCAAAUGGAAUUGAAAAUGCUUUAUUUGAAACUGAGCUGAACACCAUCGUCGCUCUUGAUUGCUCUCAUUCCUGUUCAUCAUCUACCUGGAGACCUCUAGAGAAGGUGCAGGCCAUGCCAACUUCCUUGCUGAAGCUGUUCGCUGUUAUUGACCUGAAUAAUCCCCUCCACAGCUGCAGCCUGAGAUAUCAUUAUAUACACAGAAUGAAGAUCAAAUUCAGUCUUGGUACAUCCUGAGGGGAUAUGUUUCAAAGGAAUGAGUUGGCCAAUAUCUGACUGGCUGUCUUCUCCUUUCCUGCCCAACCAUUCCCUUAGUAUUGCACAUAUCCUGAAGGAUGUUUUCACCAUUUCAACACCGGGACGCAGCGUUAUUUUGGGUGGAAAUGUUUUAUGUCCAUUGUUAAAAACCCAUCACGGGAAGAUAUGACCUCAGCAGCGAUCUCUGUAUGUGCUAACUUGAAACUCCACUGCACCCACAAGCUGGAACAAAUUCCAGUUCACGCCAGCAUCCAGCAGGUUACCAUAAGUUCUUCUGUCUCUGCUAUGGCUUCAAGCUUGUGAUCAAAGCCUUUAAAGCCCUGUGUCACUGCAUCCCAUCUAUGUCAGAAACUGAAUAAAGUUGUGCUUUUCUCAGUCUUGAAUAAGAAUGUGAGAGGCAAAAAUAAGUUUUAGUUACCACAUCUCAGGCAAAACCAAACAAUUUCUUUUACACACGUUGUUUUUCCUUCCUGUCUUAACUAGCAUGAGAAUAUGGUGCGAGGAACGCGUGUGCAUCUGGGUUAUUCUAGAAAGGCUCAUCAGCAAACAUUGCAAAGUCUGCCAUAAAAUGUUCAUCAGUCGGAUCAUCGUUGCAGUGUAUUGGCUUUCUGGAUGAAUCCUGAAAUCAGUGCACAACUCUUUGAUUUAAAGAUUGUCAGAAUCACUACACUCAACUGAUAGGAAAAUAUGUGCUGUAGACUUCAGUGAACUACUUGAACACAAUACAAUGCAAAGAGGAUUUUAAGGAAUUUGUUCUGUUGCUCUCCCGAUCUCAAAUCUACGCCACUUGGAGUCUAAUAACUUUGUAUUAUUUGUUUGGUGAAAGCAUAUCUUCUAGAAAGGCAUCUGGGCAAUGUGGAGGUCACGAAUGCACUCAGGUGAUUUUUGUAGUAAGUAAUCUCCCUCUCCUUUAGAAGCACAUACCUCAGAAAUACUUCCACUAGAAGUAUUUUCUCCCUGUAAAACCCUUUGUACACUGUAGUUGAGUUAACUCUCAACAUCCUUUUUCGCAGCAAGCCAGCUUGAAUUGCAUGUUUUAAAGACCUUUCUCCUUAGUAACUUCAAAUAAUUUUUGUGGCUGUUUUCUCUCAUUUGCCAGUCUCCUAUUUGGAUAAUGCAUAUAUGUAUACCAUUGGUAUAAAAAACCUAAUGCAAUAUUCCCAAUAAAAUGCUGAAAUCUGCUUUUAUAUAUUCCCUACGUGCCUACAGAAGUAAACUGAUAAAAAACCCUGAGUUGUCUUCAAAUAUUAAUUUUGUGAUCAGUUAUUAUUCUCUAUUAUUAUAGAUGUAGAGAUGGUUGGCAUUGAGGAAUAUAAUAGCGCUACAAGCCUUUAAAUACAAAUUUAAAUGUCAUUCUGAAAAAUACCACCUUCAAACUCUGUUUUAAAAAUGGUGCUGCCACGUACGCCUUCUUUAAGAAGGAGAUUAAGCCUGGAAGUUUUUUUCCCCUUAUCUCAUAUUUGGAACAAGGACGUUUUGAAAGCCAGGUGUUGGCUAUUUAGCAGUGCAAGGGGUCAUUGCUGAAAUAUGU